rnacentral:rRNA from 1 species
AUGGCGGAAUCAGGGAGCAAUGUAACGCAGGAGUACGAGGUGGGAAAGAAGAUCCAUGAUUUUCUGUUGCAUAAAAGAUACUUCGUACUUCUUGAUGACGUGUGGGAAACAGAUACAUGGGAGCAAAUAAGUAGAAUGGUCAAUGUUUUUCCAGAUGCAGCUACUGGAAGUAGAAUUCUGUUAACAACAAGAAAGAAAGAUGUUGCAAAUCAUAUUCAAAUGCCAACUCAUGUUCAUGUUCUAAAGCACUUAGAUGAUGAGAAAAGCUGGGAACUUUUUAGUAGCAAAGCAUUACCAUCAUACGAAAGGUCCUCCAUAUGUGACGUCAAAGAGGUUGAAGAAUUAGGGAGAAAGCUUGCAAAGAAAUGUAAUGGAUUACCACUAGCCCUUGCAGUUCUGGGGGCUUAUCUAUCAAAGAAUCUAAAUUCAGAAGCAUGGUCUGAUAUACUUUUGGAUUGGUCAUCAACCAAAAAUGGACAGAUGAUGCGAGCCAUAAUAGCUCGCAGUUACAAAGACCUCCCAAGUCAUUAUUUCAGAUCUUGUUUCCUCUAUUUUGCUGCUUUUUGUGAGGAUUCUGAAAUAGAUGUCUCAGACCUUAUUGAAAUAUGGAUAGCGGAAAGUUUGAUUCCGCAUAUGUUAAAGCAUACACCAGAAGAAACAGCACGCAAGUAUGUGACUGAGUUGGCUCAAAGAAGCUUGGUCCAAGUUGUUUCCAGAAGCAGGGCACACGGCUGGAUUGAAACAAUAAGAAUUCAUGACAUUCUACGUGACUGGUGCGUAGAAGAAGCAAGACAAGAUGGUUUUCUUAAUGCCAUUGACAAUACAACAGAGUUGGCGCCUCAUCAUCUGAUACCAUGAUAUCUUAUCGUUAUUCUUUUCAAAACAUUACUGGUCAGAUAUUGCAGGCAACGCCUAAUGCCCAAACUCUUGUUGGUUUUAGACUCUCGUCGGUGUCCCUGCCUAAGCUCAGAUUUCUGAGAGUACUUCACAUCGAAAACUCAGACCUAAAGGAUUUCUGUGCAAUCGGUGGGUUCAUUCACCUAAGAUAUCUUAGGUUGAGAGCAUGUAGGCAUGUGGCACUUCCUACAUCAAUUGGAAAACUUCUUGACUUUGAAAAUUUAGAUUUAAGAAACACAGAUCUGAAGGAAGCAGUACCAAUGUCCCUCUGGCAUAUCUCUACUUUAAGGCAUGUUUACCUCAGUAACGUGUUCCCUCCACCAAGUAAUGUGCAGCAAACAGAGUUGAGGACCUUAUGGUUAGAUCUUGGAUCAAUUGGAACUAAAUAUUUCGGUAAUGGCAUGGUGAAUUUUGUUGGCCAAAUGACUCAAUUGACAACCCUCUUCUUGUGCAUGAGCCUAGUCCCUGCAGAGAUGAUAAAUAUAUUUGUCAACAUGCCUCGACUAGUAGAUAUUUACCUCACCAGAUUCAGUGUGCUUGAUAAGUUGCCCGAGAGCCAUUACUUCCCACAAAGCCUACGCCGUCUCUAUCUAUCUGCUGAAGUCAUUAACCAGGACCCAAUGCCGAUCCUGGAGAAGCUUCCCUUUCUUGCGGUGCUCAGUUUGAGAGGUUAUGAAGGCCGUACUAUGUCAUGCUCUGCCCAAGGCUUUCCUCGUCUACAGGAGUUAAAGCUUCGUAGUUUUUCCAUGGAGGAGUGGAGGAUGGAACUAGGGACAAUGCCAAAACUCUCUCACCUUGAACUUUGGUGGUGUCAAAAGAUAAGCGAGCUACCUGAGGGCUUGCUGCACCUUUCGUCCCUCAAUGUCCUGAAACUGUACGACGCACCCCUGAUCUCUGAAGAUGACAACACACUGAAGGAGCUGCGGCGGAAAGCAUGUGAGGUAUGGUAA